CAUGUGCAGACUCCCACACACACACACACACACACGCACUCACUCACACACGCAUCUUCCUGGCAAGUAGUUGUAGGCAUGUUAAGUAGGCGUGUUUAAGAUGUGUUCAGAGCUUAAAAGGAGGUGAGAAGAUGCUGAGAGUCAUCGUUGGUUUACCACAAACAGGUAAAAAAUGCAGUGUGCUGAUAUCAAGCUGGAGGUUCGCACUACAAGAGGUGGCUACACUCGCAUGAAAUGGGACAACAUCCCUCCCAGUCUGCUAAACGUGGGCGCCAAGUUGGAGCUCUGCGGAUGGGAUGUUUUAGAGUCAUACAACUUUACGGAGGGCCACGGAUCCCGAGACACCAGACACAGCCUGAACCGUGGCCUGCAGCUCCGACUCGUGACCAAGGAUGGUGACAUCAUCAGGGAGAGCCCCAUGCUGGAUGAUGCAUACUGGAACCCCCCCACUAAGAUUGCAGGUUAUGAUGCCAGUCUGCAACUGUACACAGAGAGUGGCUAUGCCUGUGCUCGCCUUUUCAUUAACAAAUCCUUUACUGAUUAUAAAACAUGUUUUGCAAGGUCAUGGGUUGGAUUGUACCCAUCAGAGGGCAGUUGUAAUACAAACGUGCAGGGGGGCCAAUGGCAAUGGGUAAAACAAUUCUAUUUACGAAACUUUGAAGGUGAUCAUUAUGUGUACGAAUUUAAGUCUAGCAUUGCUUUGCCACCUGGGUCACAGGCCCGCUUCUUCCUCACAUGCAAGUAUGACAAGCUUUGUGCAGCCACUGCACUAUGGGAGAGUGAAACCUGUUGUAACACAGGAUGUCCCUAGUAUUCCUCUCCUCUAUGUGUUAAAGAAUGAUGGGCUUAUCCAAAGCCAUAAUACAUUUAUUACUGAAAAUAGUUUUUGGAGUCGUUUUAAUGAAGUUGAUGUUGACUGACUCUAGUCAGUGAAGCUGAAGUACCGUAAAUGUUGGACUAUAAGGCGCACCGUUAUAUAAGCCGCAGCAGCUAAAUUGAAUCAUGUGUACAUAUAUAAGCCGCACUGGAUUAUAAACCGCAGAUGUUUUAAUGUUUACUUACCAUGUGUAAGUGUUCGUGCACAGAGGGGAUUGUCGGGAAAGAGAUGGCUGCUUGAGGAAGCUCCCAUGUAUUAGCCGUUAGCCGUUAGCUGUAAAAAUCCAUAGAUUAGCCGCACCGUUAUAUAAACCGCAGGGUUGAAAAAUGCGACAAAAGGCGCGGCUUAUAGUCCGAAAAUUACGGUACUUCCUGUUUGAUUUGGUCUGAUGUUUCUUCCUGUUUAUGUUACCUGGAUUUGAACUGCUGUAACCAUAGAGAUAUUAAUAUAUACACAUAUCUAUGGUUGUAGCUGUUCUCUUCUACCUGAUUAAAGUGUACAGUUUCAAACUGAAAAAUCGAGUUCAUUUAAUCUGAUUUUUUUCACAAGGUUUCGUGACGUUGUCCACACAGGGCAUCUGAACACAAAAUAAAUGUUGAUCGUUUUCAAUACA